rnacentral:rRNA from 1 species
UAGGCGGAUCUGUAAGUCAGUGGUGAAAUCUCACAGCUUAACUGUGAAACUGCCAUUGAUACUGCAGGUCUUGAGUAAAGUAGAAGUGGCUGGAAUAAGUAGUGUAGCGGUGAAAUGCAUAGAUAUUACUUAGAACACCAAUUGCGAAGGCAGGUCACUAUGUUUUAACUGACGCUGAUGGACGAAAGCGUGGGGAGCGAACAGGAUUAGAUACCCUGGUAGUCCACGCCGUAAACGAUGCUAACUCGUUUUUGGGUCUUCGGAUUCAGAGACUAAGCGAAAGUGAUAAGUUAGCCACCUGGGGAGUACGUUCGCAAGAAUGAAACUCAAAGGAAUUGACGGGGGCCCGCACAAGCGGUGGAUUAUGUGGUUUAAUUCGAUGAUACGCGAGGAACCUUACCAAGGCUUAAAUGGGAAUUGACAGGUUUGGAAACAGACUUUUCUUCGGACAAUUUUCAAGGUGCUGCAUGGUUGUCGUCAGCUCGUGCCGUGAGGUGUUAGGUUAAGUCCUGCAACGAGCGCAACCCCUGUCACUAGUUGCCAUCAUUCAGUUGGGGACUCUAGUGAGACUGCCUACGCAAGUAGAGAGGAAGGUGGGGAUGACGUCAAAUCAUCACGGCCCUUACGCCUUGGGCCACACACGUAAUACAAUGGCCGGUACAGAGGGCAGCUACUAUGCGAAUAGAUGCGAAUCUCGAAAGCCGGUCUCAGUUCGGAUUGGAGUCUGCAACUCGACUCUAUGAAGCUGGAAUCGCUAGUAAUCGCGCAUCAG